UACGGAGGAUGCGAGCGUUAUCCGGAUUUACUGGGUGUAAAGGGCGUGUAGGCGGGAAAGCAAGUCAGAUGUGAAAACCAUGGGCUCAACCUGUGGCCUGCAUUUGAAACUGCCAUGCUGGGGUGCCGGAGAGGUAAGCGGAAUUCCUAGUGUAGCGGUGAAAUGCGUAGAUAUUAGGAGGAACACCAGUGGCGGAGGCGGCUUACUGGACGGUAACUGACGCUGAGGCUCGAAAGCGUGGGGAGCAAACAGG
rnacentral:rRNA from 1 species